rnacentral:rRNA from 1 species
UACGUAGGGGGCAAGCGUUGUCCGGAAUCAUUGGGCGUAAAGCGCGUGUAGGCGGCCAGAUAAGUCCGCUGUGAAAUCUCGAGGCUCAACUUCGAGCUGUCGGUGGAAACUGUCUGGCUAGAGUCCGGAAGAGGAGAGUGGAAUUCCUGGUGUAGCGGUGAAAUGCGCAGAUAUCAGGAGGAACACCAAUGGCGAAGGCAGCUCGCUGGGACGUGACUGACGCUGAGACGCGAAAGCGUGGGGAGCAAACAGG